AGCGAACGCUGGCGGCAGGCCUAACACAUGCAAGUCGAACGAACUCUUCGGAGUUAGUGGCGGACGGGUGAGUAACACGUGGGAACGUGCCUUUAGGUUCGGAAUAACUCAGGGAAACUUGUGCUAAUACCGAAUGUGCCCUUCGGGGGAAAGAUUUAUCGCCUUUAGAGCGGCCCGCGUCUGAUUAGCUAGUUGGUGAGGUAAAGGCACACCAAGGCGACGAUCAGUAGCUGGUCUGAGAGGAUGAUCAGCCACAUUGGGACUGAGACACGGCCCAAACUCCUACGGGAGGCAGCGGGGGGGAAUCUUGCGCAAUGGGCGAAAGCCUGACGCAGCCAUGCCGCGUGAAUGAUGAAGGUCUUAGGAUUGUAAAAUUCUUUCACCGGGGACGAUAAUGACGGUACCCGGAGAAGAAGCCCCGGCUAACUUCGUG
rnacentral:rRNA from 1 species